GGUGGUGGUGCCUCAGUGGUUAAAGGAUCUGGGUUACUGAUCAGAGGGUCAGGAGUUCAAGCCCCAUCACUGCCA